UGGGGAAUAUUGGACAAUGGGUGAGAGCCUGAUCCAGCCAUGCCGCGUGCAGGAAGAAGGCGUUAUGCGUUGUAAACUGCUUUUUGCCAGGGGAUAAAAUGACCGUGCGCGGUUAAUUGAAGGUACCUGGUGAAUAAGCCACGGCUAACUACGUGCCAGCAGCCGCGGUAAUACGUAGGUGGCAAGCGUUGUCCGGAUUUAUUGGGUUUAAAGGGUGCGUAGGUGGCCCUGUAAGUCAGUGGUGAAAUAUCUCAGCUUAACUGAGAGGGUGCCAUUGAUACUGCAGGGCUUGAGUACAGAUGAGGUAGGCGGAAUUGACGGUGUAGCGGUGAAAUGCAUAGAUAUCGUCAAGAACACCGAUAGCGAAGGCAGCUUACCAAGCUGUAACUGACACUGAGGCACGAAAGUGUGGGGAUCAAACAGGAUUAGAUACCCAAGUAGUCCCUGAGCGGGCUGGCAAGGCGCAU
rnacentral:rRNA from 1 species